rnacentral:lncRNA from 1 species
GGUCCACUAAAUACCACAAUCUCCACUGGCAGGAUCCACUGAGUAUCAACGUAUAAUCUUCAUUGGUGGAGUUCACUGAAAUAUUGUUAUACUGAGAGCAUAAAUCCGAUCUGUAUCAAAAUAUUUUUGUAUCAUAAUAUAUCAUAAUUUUCACUGAAUAUAUGCAUAAUCAAUAAACCAUAGUAUUUCAAAAUCACUUUUCGUUCAAAACAUAAUUUCAUAAAUCAUGCAUAAUUCUAAGAAUAAUUAUUUAUUUUUAAAAUAAAUAUAAAAUAUCUUGAGAAGAUAAUUCAUUACUUAUCUUUUAUAGAUUACUGAACGAACAGAUCGAUUAACCUUUAGGAGAUUCUUCAGUGUCUAUUAUUCAAAAUUAUAUUUUUAUAUUAAUUUUAAUUUAAAAUUAAAUCAAAAUAAAUCUAAAUCAAAAUCUUACUUAAGAUCG